GUGCUUGCUUCAGCAUCACAUAUACUACAACUGGAACAAUUCAGAGAAGAUUAGCAUGGCCCCUGUGCAAGGAUGAUACACAAAUUCAUGAAGUGUUCCAUAUUUAA